ensembl:lncRNA novel transcript
AAAAAUAAUGCAUUGUAUGCCGGAAGGGAUAAAUCUGGGGCUGAGUACAAGCAAAACAAGACCAAAGGAAGCUACCUGAGCAGGUAUUCCAGAUACUCAUGUCAUACACCAAGGUUGUACCAGUGCCCCUUUCUCUGUGACACAUCCAUCCACUGGAAACUUUCGUACAACUAGCUGAAAGAAGAGAAACAUCCUAUUUCAUGUCACUGGAGCCCUAAUGAUCGCAGCCAUUUCAGGAAAUGCCAUCAAUUACAGUGAGGAGCUCAUUCAGAAGUGAAAGAUGAGUUCCAUUCUCUGUUACUUAGAGGGUGGAUAUCCUCCUCCACUGAAUGCAAACUAUUAAGUAAUGAAAAGACAGCACUCCAAGCAAUAUAGAUUUAUAGGCCAACCUGGCAAUCAAGGGUAACUGACAUGAAAAUGGAUUGCUUCACAUUUUAAUUACAAAGGUAUUAGCCCCAUAUAAUGUUUCUUACAACAGAAGGUCUAUUAAUGGUUUUUCCAUCUUACUGAUUAACCAUAUUACCUUCUAGAUACUCUUCAGUACCAUAAAUUGAAGAAAACACUAACUUUUUGUGGCUACUGUAAUUGUCAAAGUAUAAUUACCUGUGUUUUCUCACCUACGUAUUUGAGAUAGAGACAAAACCAAGUAAGUUAAUCCACUUAUAAUAAAAAUGUCUUCUGAGAAUA